AAUAGUUUUAUGUCACAUCAGUAUUCUUAUUCUGAAUUUCAAGAUUUUAUCUUGAAAAAAAUCAAAUCCAAAUUAAACUACUGAAAUUCAGGAUAAGAAUACUGAUUUGGCAUAAAACUAUU
rnacentral:pre_miRNA from 1 species